rnacentral:rRNA from 1 species
GCAAUCUGCCCUGCACUCUGGGACAAGCCCUGGAAACGGGGUCUAAUACCGGAUAUGACCAUCUUGGGCAUCCUUGAUGGUGUAAAGCUCCGGCGGUGCAGGAUGAGCCCGCGGCCUAUCAGCUUGUUGGUGAGGUAAUGGCUCACCAAGGCGACGACGGGUAGCCGGCCUGAGAGGGCGACCGGCCACACUGGGACUGAGACACGGCCCAGACUCCUACGGGAGGCAGCAGUGGGGAAUAUUGCACAAUGGGCGAAAGCCUGAUGCAGCGACGCCGCGUGAGGGAUGACGGCCUUCGGGUUGUAAACCUCUUUCAGCAGGGAAGAAGCGAAAGUGACGGUACCUGCAGAAGAAGCGCCGGCUAACUACGUGCCAGCAGCCGCGGUAAUACGUAGGGCGCGAGCGUUGUCCGGAAUUAUUGGGCGUAAAGAGCUCGUAGGCGGCUUGUCACGUCGGUUGUGAAAGCCCGGGGCUUAACCCCGGGUCUGCAGUCGAUACGGGCAGGCUAGAGUUCGGUAGGGGAGAUCGGAAUUCCUGGUGUAGCGGUGAAAUGCGCAGAUAUCAGGAGGAACACCGGUGGCGAAGGCGGAUCUCUGGGCCGAUACUGACGCUGAGGAGCGAAAGCGUGGGGAGCGAACAGGAUUAGAUACCCUGGUAGUCCACGCCGUAAACGGUGGGCACUAGGUGUGGGCAACAUUCCACGUUGUCCGUGCCGCAGCUAACGCAUUAAGUGCCCCGCCUGGGGAGUACGGCCGCAAGGCUAAAACUCAAAGGAAUUGACGGGGGCCCGCACAAGCGGCGGAGCAUGUGGCUUAAUUCGACGCAACGCGAAGAACCUUACCAAGGCUUGACAUACACCGGAAAACCCUGGAGACAGGGUCCCCCUUGUGGUCGGUGUACAGGUGGUGCAUGGCUGUCGUCAGCUCCUGUCGUGAGAUGUUGGGUUAAGUCCCGCAACGAGCGCAACCCUUGUCCCGUGUUGCCAGCAGGCCCUUGUGGUGCUGGGGACUCACGGGAGACCGCCGGGGUCAACUCGGAGGAAGGUGGGGACGACGUCAAGUCAUCAUGCCCCUUAUGUCUUGGGCUGCACACGUGCUACAAUGGCCGGUACAAUGAGCUGCGAUACCGCGAGGUGGAGCGAAUCUCAAAAAGCCGGUCUCAGUUCGGAUUGGGGUCUGCAACUCGACCCCAUGAAGUCGGAGUCGCUAGUAAUCGCAGAUCAGCAUUGCUGCGGUGAAUACGUUCCCGGGCCUUGUACACACCGCCCGUCACGUCACGAAAGUCGGUAACACCCGAAGCCGGUGGCCCAACCCCUUGUG